UCCAGAGUAGAAAGGCGGAUCAUGCCUCGCAAUGCCCGCUCGUACGUGCGACGCAGCCAGGACGAAGGGCCUGUUCGAUCCCUGUGAAACGAAGCGGAUCCACUUGUGUGCCCUUGCUCAGUCACACGCGGAAGCACAACGCUGAAGCCUUAUUUCUGACUCGCCUGGGUCGACAGAACACGGCCUGCGACUUCUCGGCGGGCACCCCGCUUCGUGUGCAAUCACAAUGUCAACAAAGCACGUCCCAAUUGGCAGCACGGACUGAAUGCAGUGAGUGGGCGUCUCACUGUGGCUUUUGUCGGUGUGUCGGGUCUUUCUUGGCACCCCGAAGUGUGGAAAGUGCAACACGACGAUGUUCCGUGAUGUUGGCAAGGACCCGGCGUUUGUUGAUGGAGAGAACACCUGUUUUCUCCGCUCUACUGUGCUCAAUGGAAAGAGUUGUAUUAUAAGAACGCCUCCCCCCCCCCCCUUUUCGACAUAAAUAAACCCCCCAUGUCCGCACGG